AGGAGUUUGAUCCUGGCUCAGAUUGAACGCUGGCGGCAUGCUUUACACAUGCAAGUCGAGCGGCAGCGCGGGGGCAACCCUGGCAGCGAGCGGCGAACGGGUGAGUAAUACAUCGGAACGUGUCCCGUAGUGGGGGAUAGCUCGGCGAAAGCCGGAUUAAUACCGCAUAUGCUCUACGGAGGAAAGUGGGGGAUCCGCAAGGACCUCACGCUAUGGGAGCGGCCGAUGUCCGAUUAGCUUGUUGGUGGGGUAAAGGCUUACCAAGGCGACGAUCGGUAGCUGGUCUGAGAGGAUGAUCAGCCACACUGGGACUGAGACACGGCCCAGACUCCUACGGGAGGCAGCAGUGGGGAAUUUUGGACAAUGGGGGAAACCCUGAUCCAGCCAUGCCGCGUGCGGGAAGAAGGCCUUCGGGUUGUAAACCGCUUUUGUUCGGGAAGAAAGCGUAUCCCCUAAUACGGGAUGCUCUUGACGGUACCGGAAGAAUAAGCACCGGCUAACUACGUGCCAGCAGCCGCGGUAAUACGUAGGGUGCGAGCGUUAAUCGGAAUUACUGGGCGUAAAGCGUGCGCAGGCGGUUCGUCAAGUCUGAUGUGAAAGCCCCGGGCUCAACCUGGGAAUGGCCAUUGGAAACUAGCGAGC
rnacentral:rRNA from 1 species